AGCCGUAGCGCCUCGGCCUCCUGGCGGCUCGCCCGCCGCCGCUCCUCCGCCGCCCUCUGCAGUGCGCGGCUGCGCCGGGCCUCCGUGUCCUGGGGAGGCGGAUGGAAAGGAGGCGAGCGCCCGCACGACUUGGGACUCGGGAGCCGGCGGGGCUCACCGCUUCCCCCGGCCCCGACACUUGCACGCCCAGCGACUACAAGUUUUGAAACUUGCUGAGCUGAGGAGCAGCAAAAAAAAGAAGAAAAACUCUGUCUGGGUUGGAAGGGCAUCUUGGAAGUCUUCCUAGAAGAGGAUGGGGGCGAUGGUGCAACAGGCCUUAGCGCGGAGAAUACAGGUGGGGACUGAGCCGCUCAGAACGGUGCCCGGCGCGGUAAGGGUUGGGCCAGUCGCAGAGGACUUGGGUCUCCGCGGUCCUGGCGGUCCUCGGGGCCCCCGCCCC